CCUACGGGAGGCAGCAGUGAGGAAUAUUGGUCAAUGGGCGCGAGCCUGAACCAGCCAAGUAGCGUGAAGGAUGACUGCCCUCCGUGUUGUAAACUUCUUUUAUAAAGGAAUAAAGCGAGCCACGUGUGCCUUUUUGUAUGUACUUUAUGAAUAAGGAUCGGCUAACUCCGUGCCAGCAGCCGCGGUAAUACGGAGGAUCCGAGCGUUAUCCGGAUUUAUUGGGUUUAAAGGGAGCGUAGAUGGGUUGUUAAGUCAGUUGUGAAAGUUUGCGGCUCAACCGUAAAAUUGCAGUUGAUACUGGCAGUCUUGAGUACAGUUGAGGUAGGCGGAAUUCGUGGUGUAGCGGUGAAAUGCUUAGAUAUCACGAAGAACUCCGAUUGCGAAGGCAGCUUACUAGACUGCCACUGACAUUGAGGCUCGAAAGUGUGGGUAGCAAACAGGAUUAGAUACCCGAGUAGUC
rnacentral:rRNA from 1 species